UUGAAGCUUAUGAUAAAAGUUGGUACGGUAUGGGAUUUGAUGGUAUAACUAGGACUCAUAAGAUUGUUUGUAUUGUUAAAAGUCAAUCGUACAAUCUAAGGAGGUUUUUUUUCGCGGCUUAUGUUUAUACACUGGACAUAAGAUCAUCAUUGUGGAGAGAAAUACACUCAGUUCCCCAGUGUGAGUUUAGUAGCAAGACCAUAUCUGCAUAUGGAGACAUGCAUUGGUUGAUUUAUCGUGAUGUAGAUGGAGGAUUACCCAAUUGUAUUAUUUCUUUCAAUUUCAAGAAAGAUGAAUUUGUUUGGAUCCCUUAUCCUAAUUCAUCACAGGGUUUUGGUCAUGGUUUGAAUCAUUUGCUUAACGUGAGAGGGUGUUUGGCUAUUAUGUCAUCUAGAUUGCAGGGAAAGUGAAUUGCCAAACAACAUUUGGGAAGGAGAGUCAUAUCAUAUCUUUGAGAGUCUACGUAGCUAGAAAGUGAUGAAUUUGUGGCACUGUGGAUCAAGGUAACUCGAUGAUGACCUGACGCCUUUAGAUUUUAUGAUGUGCAGAACAAUACCCAGCAUGAUGUGCCUGUGGUGACUACACAGCAUGGAGUAUUUUUAUUACCUUCAACAAUCAGUCAUGAUGCCAAAAGUAAAAGCAGGAAUACCUCUUCAAUUCUUUGUUUAAGUUUGAUGUAUGAAGCUUUCCUUUGAAAAUGCCCUGAACAAACGGCAAGAUUUGCAAAUGGGUCUUCAUAUACUGUGUUCGUUUUGCUUACUGGAAUAGAAAUAAAAAUAGAGUUUUUCUCUUUUUCUUGGGCGGAAAGUAAAGAGAGUUGGAAUGGAAGUAGGGUUUAGCUAGGAAACAAACAAUUAAUCAAUAAAUAAUCAUGGAAACGGGAAUGACAAAUUUACGCUUUGAUUUUA